GACGAACGCUGGCGGCGUGCUUAACACAUGCAAGUCGAACGGAAAGGCCCUGCUUUUGUGGGGUGCUCGAGAGGCGAACGGGUGAGUAAAACGUGAGUAACCUGCCCCUGACUUUGGGAUAACUUCAGGAAACUGGGGCUAAUACCGGAUAGGAGCUCCUGCUGCAUGGGGGGGGUUGGAAAGUUUCGGCGGUUGGGGAUGGACUCGAGGGUUAUCAGCUUGUUGGUGGGGUAGUGGCUUACCAAGGCUUUGACGGGUAGCCGGCCUGAGAGGGUGACCGGCCACAUUGGGACUGAGAUACGGCCCAGACGCCUACGGGAGGCAGCAGUGGGGAAUAUUGCACAAUGGGCGGAAGCCUGAUGCAGCGACGCCGCGUGCGGGAUGACGGCCUUCGGGUUGUAAACCGCUUUCGCCUGUGACGAAGCGUGAGUGACGGUAAUGGGUAAAGAAGCACCGGCUAACUACGUG
rnacentral:rRNA from 1 species